CACCUAGUGCAAACGAACAUGGCAAUGCCAAGGCAUCAAGAAAUUGGGAGCUUUGGUGCUGAGGGAGCCGCUUUUGGCUUCUCAAACUUGAAUCAGCAUCUCUCUGGUACAUUUUCAGCCUCUGCUUCCUCAAAUCUCUCUUCUGCAGGACGGAAUCCAUUUGGAUGAUGCUAAGAACGUUUCUGCAAGGCCACCAAAGUUCUCAACCCAAGCACCAUCUUUUGCUCUCUGUACAAACUAGAGGUUUGCGGUUUUCCACCCUCUGUCAUUUAAAGCUAACCACAAGUGCAAAGAGAGAGAAAGAAAAGAAAAACAGAGAGAAAGAGAGAGAUUAGUGAUUUGCUUCUUUUUUUUUUUUGGGGGGGGGGUGUCGAAGAACAAUAUCUGCCUUGGCCAUGUAAAUUUUUUAUAUAGAAAGGUGCCUUGUCUACUUUCUUCACGUAAAGGAAUUAUGUAGGAAAGAGCCUAUGACCUCUAUGCGGUAAACAGUAAAAUUAUACCCUGUGGAUAUCUCACUUUUUUUUUUUUGGGGUGCAAUCAUGGACAUUUACAAUAGUAGCCUCGAUGGUGCUGAGCAGCUGUGUUGUUUCAUGUUU